UACAGAGGGGGCAAGCGUUAUUCGGAAUUAUUGGGCGUAAAGGGCGCGUAGGCGGCUUGGCAAGUGGAAGGUGAAAUCCCUCGGCUUAACCGAGGAACUGCCCUCCAAAACUGCUUGGCUUGAGACCGGGAGAGGUGAGUGGAAUUCCCAGUGUAGCGGUGAAAUGCGUAGAUAUUGGGAGGAACACCAGUGGCGAAGGCGGCUCACUGGACCGGUACUGACGCUGAUGCGCGAAAGCGUGGGGAGCGAACAGG
rnacentral:rRNA from 1 species